GGGAAUCUUCCGCAAUGGGCGAAAGCCUGACGGAGCAAGACCGCGUGGGGGAGGAAGGCCUUUGGGUUGUAAACCCCUUUUGUUAGGGAAGAAAAAAAUGACGGUACCUAACGAAUCAGCCUCGGCUAACUCCGUGCCAGCAGCCGCGGUAAUACGGAGGAGGCAAGCGUUAUCCGGAAUUAUUGGGCGUAAAGCGUCCGUAGGUGGCCCGGCAAGUCUGCUGUCAAAGACCACAGCUCAACUGUGGAAAGGCAGUGGAAACUGCAAGGCUAGAGUGCGGUAGGGGUAGAGGGAAUUCCCAGUGUAGCGGUGAAAUGCGUAGAGAUUGGGAAGAACACCGGUGGCGAAAGCGCUCUACUGGGCCGCAACUGACACUGAUGACGAA
rnacentral:rRNA from 1 species